rnacentral:rRNA from 1 species
GGUUAAGCGACUAAGCGUACACGGUGGAUGCCCUGGCAGUCAGAGGCGAUGAAGGACGUGCUAAUCUGCGAAAAGCGUCGGUAAGGUGAUAUGAACCGUUAUAGCCGGCGAUGUCCGAAUGGGGAAACCCAGUGUGAUUCGUCACACUAUCGUUAACUGAAUACAUAGGUUAACGAGGCGAACCGGGGGAACUGAAACAUCUAAGUACCCCGAGGAAAAGAAAUCAACCGAGAUUCCCCCAGUAGCGGCGAGCGAACGGGGAGCAGCCCAGAGUCUGAAUCAGCUUGUGUGUUAGUGGAACGGUCUGGAAAGUCCGACGGUACAGGGUGAUAGUCCCGUACACCAAAAUGCACAGGCUGUGAACUCGAAGAGUAGGGCGGGACACGUGGUAUCCUGUCUGAAUAUGGGGGGACCAUCCUCCAAGGCUAAAUACUCCUGACUGACCGAUAGUGAACCAGUACCGUGAGGGAAAGGCGAAAAGAACCCCGGCGAGGGGAGUGAAAAAGAACCUGAAACCGUGUACGUACAAGCAGUGGGAGCACCUUCGGGUGUGACUGCGUACCUUUUGUAUAAUGGGUCAGCGACUUAUAUUCUGUAGCAAGGUUAACCGUAUAGGGGAGCCGCAGGGAAACCGAGUCUUAACUGGGCGUUAAGUUGCAGGGUAUAGACCCGAAACCCGGUGAUCUAGCCAUGGGCAGGUUGAAGGUUGGGUAACACUAACUGGAGGACCGAACCGACUAAUGUUGAAAAAUUAGCGGAUGACUUGUGGCUGGGGGUGAAAGGCCAAUCAAACCGGGAGAUAGCUGGUUCUCCCCGAAAGCUAUUUAGGUAGCGCCUCGUGAACUCAUCUUCGGGGGUAGAGCACUGUUUCGGCUAGGGGGUCAUCCCGACUUACCAACCCGAUGCAAACUACGAAUACCGAAGAAUGUUAUCACGGGAGACACACGGCGGGUGCUAACGUCCGUCGUGAAGAGGGAAACAACCCAGACCGCCAGCUAAGGUCCCAAAGUCAUGGUUAAGUGGGAAACGAUGUGGGAAGGCACAGACAGCCAGGAUGUUGGCUUAGAAGCAGCCAUCAUUUAAAGAAAGCGUAAUAGCUCACUGGUCGAGUCGGCCUGCGCGGAAGAUGUAACGGGGCUAAACCAUGCACCGAAGCUGCGGCAGCGACACUAUGUGUUGUUGGGUAGGGGAGCGUUCUGUAAGCCUGCGAAGGUGGCCUGUGAGGGUUGCUGGAGGUAUCAGAAGUGCGAAUGCUGACAUAAGUAACGAUAAAGCGGGUGAAAAGCCCGCUCGCCGGAAGACCAAGGGUUCCUGUCCAACGUUAAUCGGGGCAGGGUGAGUCGACCCCUAAGGCGAGGCCGAAAGGCGUAGUCGAUGGGAAACAGGUUAAUAUUCCUGUACUUGGUGUUACUGCGAAGGGGGGACGGAGAAGGCUAUGUUAGCCGGGCGACGGUUGUCCCGGUUUAAGCAUGUAGGCUGGUUAUCCAGGCAAAUCCGGAUAAUCAAGGCUGAGGUGUGAUGACGAGGCACUACGGUGCUGAAGUAACAAAUGCCCUGCUUCCAGGAAAAGCCUCUAAGCAUCAGGUAACACGAAAUCGUACCCCAAACCGACACAGGUGGUCAGGUAGAGAAUACCAAGGCGCUUGAGAGAACUCGGGUGAAGGAACUAGGCAAAAUGGUGCCGUAACUUCGGGAGAAGGCACGCUGGUGUGUAGGUGAAGUCCCUGCGGAUGGAGCUGAGACCAGUCGAAGAUACCAGCUGGCUGCAACUGUUUAUUAAAAACACAGCACUGUGCAAACACGAAAGUGGACGUAUACGGUGUGACGCCUGCCCGGUGCCGGAAGGUUAAUUGAUGGGGUUAUCCGUAAGGAGAAGCUCUUGAUCGAAGCCCCGGUAAACGGCGGCCGUAACUAUAACGGUCCUAAGGUAGCGAAAUUCCUUGUCGGGUAAGUUCCGACCUGCACGAAUGGCGUAAUGAUGGCCAGGCUGUCUCCACCCGAGACUCAGUGAAAUUGAACUCGCUGUGAAGAUGCAGUGUACCCGCGGCAAGACGGAAAGACCCCGUGAACCUUUACUAUAGCUUGACACUGAACAUUGAGCCUUGAUGUGUAGGAUAGGUGGGAGGCUUUGAAGCGUGGACGCCAGUCUGCGUGGAGCCAACCUUGAAAUACCACCCUUUAAUGUUUGAUGUUCUAACGUUGGCCCCUUAUCGGGGUUGCGGACAGUGUCUGGUGGGUAGUUUGACUGGGGCGGUCUCCUCCCAAAGCGUAACGGAGGAGCACGAAGGUUAGCUAAUCCUGGUCGGACAUCAGGAGGUUAGUGCAAUGGCAUAAGCUAGCUUGACUGCGAGCGUGACGGCGCGAGCAGGUGCGAAAGCAGGUCAUAGUGAUCCGGUGGUUCUGAAUGGAAGGGCCAUCGCUCAACGGAUAAAAGGUACUCCGGGGAUAACAGGCUGAUACCGCCCAAGAGUUCAUAUCGACGGCGGUGUUUGGCACCUCGAUGUCGGCUCAUCACAUCCUGGGGCUGAAGUAGGUCCCAAGGGUAUGGCUGUUCGCCAUUUAAAGUGGUACGCGAGCUGGGUUUAGAACGUCGUGAGACAGUUCGGUCCCUAUCUGCCGUGGGCGCUGGAGAAUUGAGGGGGGCUGCUCCUAGUACGAGAGGACCGGAGUGGACGCAUCACUGGUGUUCGGGUUGUCAUGCCAAUGGCACUGCCCGGUAGCUAAAUGCGGAAGAGAUAAGUGCUGAAAGCAUCUAAGCACGAAACUUGCCCCGAGAUGAGUUCUCCCUGAGACUUUAAGUCUCCUGAAGGAACGUUAAAGACGAUGACGUUGAUAGGCCGGGUGUGUAAGCGCAGCGAUGCGUUGAGCUAACCGGUACUAAUGAACCGUGAGGCUUAACCUU